CACGGGGGGGGCAAGCGUUGUCCGGAAUUAUUGGGCGUAAAGGGCGCGUAGGUGGGAUAGCAAGUCUGGGGUGCAAACUUAUGGCUUAACUGUAAGCUUGCCCUGGAUACUACUAUUCUUGAGUUCGGGAGAGGGAAGUGGAAUUCCUGGUGUAGCGGUGAAAUGCGUAGAUAUCAGGAAGAACACCGGUGGCGAAGGCGGCUUCCUGGCCCGAUACUGACACUGAGGCGCGAAAGUGCGGGGAGCAAACAGGAUUAGAUACCCUGGUAGUCCGCACAGUAAACGCUGGACACUAGGUGUUGGUCUCUAUGAGAUCAGCGCCGCAGCUAACGCAUUAAGUGUCCCGCCUGGGGAGUACGACCGCAAGGUUGAA
rnacentral:rRNA from 1 species